GACCAUGACCAGGUGACUGUGGUGAGCCAGUACUUCCCAGCAGGCACAUAAGCAGCAGGAGAGGGAGAGAGGAGGAUGAGGAUGAGCUCCCAGCAUUCUUUCAUGAGCAAACUUCCAAGGAUCUUCUCCUAUUCCCUACAUACCAAGGGUCCCACACCUCCUGUGGUGCCAUGCACUGUAGGCCACACCUUUAACACGUGGGCCUUUGAGGGACAGUCAACUCAAACCAUAGCACCAGUAUGGUGAUGAUAAAAAAGUAAAAGGAAAAAAAUGGCUCCAAAGUCAGUGAAUACACAAUUACCAGGAUGGUUUAUGACUUUCUACAUGAAGGAUCCACCACCAACCCUGCCGGCCACGCACCCUCACUUCGUAUCUCAGGAAUGAAGUGGCAGUGAUGGCUUCCUUACUCCUAAAUACCAAAUCUGCUGGGGCCUUCUUCCACAAGACCACGCUUAUAAACAGCUUUUAAUUUGGCA